UUAAAGAAGAAAUAGCAGAAUUACAAAUUGCAAUGCCAGAACAAAAUUGUGAGCAUCAAUACCAACCAAAUUGUGAGUAUCAACAAAUUGCAAUGCCAGAACAAAAUUGUGAGCAUCAAUACCAACCAAAUUUGACCAGUGAAUUGCCAACAUAUCCGCAGAAGGAGCAUUCAUCAUGCUAUUGAGUUUCCUAGUAGUAGCCAAGAAAGUAUUACAAGAGAGAUCCUUUAUUAUGCAGUUGUGCAAGAUAAUUCCUUCCUCGAAGUAACCAACAUUUUUUUCCGACAUCCACCCUAAUUGAUUAUCCAUCUUUGUUGUGAUCCCCAU